rnacentral:lncRNA from 1 species
AUAAAAGUAUCUCCAAAAGCCUUGCUGUUCAUCAGUCCGCGGUAAGACAAAUUGUCUAUAAAUGGAGAAAGUUCAGCACUGCUGCUACUCUCCCUAGGAGUGGCUGUCCUGUAAAGAUGACUGCAAGAGCACAGCGCAGACUGCUCAAUGAGGUGAAGAAGAAUCCUAGAGUGUCAGCUAAAGACUUACAAAAGUCACUGGCAAAUGCUAACAUCCCUGUUAGCGAAUCUACAAUACGUAAAACACUAAACAAGAAUGGAUUUCAUGGGAGGAUACCACAGAGGAAGCCACUGCAGUCCAAAC